ACUCCUACGGGAGGCAGCAGUGGGGAAUAUUGCACAAUGGGCGAAAGCCUGAUGCAGCAACGCCGCGUGAGGGAUGACGGCCUUCGGGUUGUAACCUCUUUUAGUAGGGAAGAAGCGAAAGUGACGGUACCUGCAGAAAAAGCACCGGCUAACUACGUGCCAGCAGCCGCGGUAAUACGUAGGGUGCAAGCGUUGUCCGGAAUUAUUGGGCGUAAAGAGCUCGUAGGCGGUUUGUCGCGUCUGCUGUGAAAUCUGGGGGCUCAACCCCCAGCCUGCAGUGGGUACGGGCAGACUAGAGUGCGGUAGGGGAGAUUGGAAUUCCUGGUGUAGCGGUGGAAUGCGCAGAUAUCAGGAGGAACACCGAUGGCGAAGGCAGAUCUCUGGGCCGUAACUGACGCUGAGGAGCGAAAGCAUGGGGAGCGAACAGGAUUAGAUACCCUGGUAGUCCAUGCCGUAAACGUUGGGAACUAGAUGUAGGGGCCAUUCCACGGUUUCUGUGUCGCAGCUAACGCAUUAAGUUCCCCGCCUGGGGAGUACGGCCGCAAGGCUAAAACUCAAAGGAAUUGACGGGGGCCCGCACAAGCGGCGGAGCAUGCGGAUUAAUUCGAUGCAACGCGAAGAACCUUACCAAGGCUUGACAUAUACCGGAAACGUCCAGAGAUGGUCGCCCCGCAAGGUCGGUAUACAGGUGGUGCAUGGUUGUCGUCAGCUCGUGUCGUGAGAUGUUGGGUUAAGUCCCGCAACGAGCGCAACCCUCGUUCUAUGUUGCCAGCACGUUAUGGUGGGAACUCAUAGGAGACUGCCGGGGUCAACUCGGA
rnacentral:rRNA from 1 species